GAUGAAGACGUAGCGAAAUGCGAUAAGUAAUGUGAAUUGCAGAAUUCAGUGAAUCAUCGAAUCUUUGAACGCACCUUGCACCCUUUGGCAUUCCGAAGGGUAUGCUCGUUUGAGUGUCAUUGUACUCUCACACUUCUGAUCCUUUGGAUUGGGAGCGGUGGACUUGGGUGUUGCUGCUUUACUGUGGCUCACCUCAAAUGCAUUCGUGCAACUCUUGGUUGGACAUAGUACGGCGUGAUAAGUAUCUUCGCCGGCACCUCGCAAGAGGGUGGCUGAUCAGGAGCUCUGUGCUUUCCAACUGUCUUCAGACAACAACUGACAACUUGACCUCAAAUCGAGUAGGACCACCCGCUGAACUUAAGCAUAUCAAUAAGCGGAGGA
rnacentral:misc_RNA from 1 species